rnacentral:rRNA from 1 species
UGGGGAUGACGUCAAAUCAGCACGGCCCUUAUGUCCAGGGCUACACACGUGUUACAAUGGUCGGUACAGAGGGCAGCUACCUGGUGACAGGAUGCUAAUCUCGAAAACCGGCCUCAGUUCGGAUCGAAGUCUGCAACUCGACUUCGUGAAGCUGGAUUCGCUAGUAAUCGCGGAUCAGCAUGCCGCGGUGAAUACGUUCCCGGGCCUU